UCUAAAACCAACUAUUGAAUAUAAGAUUAUUGACGAAAUAGAAAACCUCAACAUAGGUCUAAUGGAAUUCAACAACUUCACCCGCAUCGUAAUACAUAUGACUAAAUUGUCCUGAAGAAGAUCCCAAAUAGAAUCGAAACGUCGACAGUUGAAACUGAGUGUAUUAUUCACCCUAUUAGCAGUCCUGAAGCCAAGAUCCCUAUUUCCUGAGUUGAAUGCAAGGACGAGAUUUGUUGGAUAUGGACGCUUAUUUAUUUUACCGCUGAGUCGUCACUCUUUCCCUCCUUUCUCUAUGGGGAGAAACCUUAUUCCUUGUAUUGUACUCCUACCAUAUAUAAACUCUUCAUAUAAGGGCGUGCUCCGAGGACAGCCCGUCAGAUUAUUAAAAGAAAAAUCAAAUCUCAGAAAAACUCGAGCGCGUCAGAUUAAGGCUAACGUGGCAUGAGGAAAUGGGUGAGUGGCAAAAUUGUAAAAAAAAACGUCACUGUGAAAUACUCGAGCGCGAUUAAAUUUUUUUUAUUUUGAAGGAAAUCCUGUAAGUAUAACAAAAUAAAAAUAAUCUGACGAUUUUCAUGGGGCGAUGUAGCUUAAACCAUAAAUAAAGUGUGGUGCGUACAGCUGCUGAGAACUGGAUUGAAACUCCUCAGGUGUCAUAACACCUGACAUAUCAGGAGAUACUUUAGAUUCAGAAACACAAAAUGAAGAAGAAAUUGACCAUGGAGGAAUCAAUUUUGAAGAUGAAUCCAGUGAGGAUGAAGAUUAAAAAAUUUUUUUAUAUUCUUUAAUCUAUUAUUGUAUUAAUAAAUAAUGAUAAAAUUACACCUACA